rnacentral:rRNA from 1 species
UACGAAGGGAGCUAGCGUUGUUCGGAAUCACUGGGCGUAAAGCGCACGUAGGCGGAUUUGUCAGUCAGGGGUGAAAUCCCGGGGCUCAACCUCGGAACUGCCUUUGAUACAGCAAGUCUUGAGUUCGAGAGAGGUGGGUGGAAUUCCGAGUGUAGAGGUGAAAUUCGUAGAUAUUCGGAAGAACACCAGUGGCGAAGGCGGCUCACUGGACUGGUAUUGACGCUGAGGUGCGAAAGCGUGGGGAGCAAACAGG